rnacentral:rRNA from 1 species
AUUGAACGCUGGCGGAAUGCUUUACACAUGCAAGUCGAACGGCAGCACGGACUUCGGUCUGGUGGCGAGUGGCGAACGGGUGAGUAAUGUAUCGGAACGUGCCCAGUCGUGGGGGAUAACGUAGUGAAAAUUACGCUAAUACCGCAUACGAUCUAUGGAUGAAAGCGGGGGAUCGCAAGACCUCGCGCGAUUGGAGCGGCCGAUAUCAGAUAAGGUAGUAGGUGGGGUAAAGGCCCCCCAAGCCAACGAUCUGUAGCUGGUCUGAGAGGACGACCAGCCACACUGGAACUGAGACACGGUCCAGACCCCUACGGGAGGCAGCAGUGGGGAAUUUUGGACAAUGGGCGAAAGCCUGAUCCAGCCAUUCCGCGUGCAGGAUGAAGGCCCUCGGGUUGUAAACUGCUUUUGUACAGAACGAAAAGGUUUCUACUAAUACUAGGAGCUCAUGACGGUACUGUAAGAAUAAGCACCGGCUAACUACGUGCCAGCCGCCGCGGUAA